AGAGAAUGUUAGACACCAAGGCCUACUUGAGUGAGGAGAGUGGGAGGAGGGAGAGGAUUGAAAAUCUGCCUGUUGGGUACUAUGCUUAUUACCAGGUAAUAAAAU